GGCAUUAACUUAACGAAUUAGGCGAGUAUGGUGGUCUAUUUAUAUGAUUCUGCUAAGCUGUUGAUAAUCCACGUUGCACCUUACUUAUCUUAAUUCUUGUAUACCGUUGUUUACGAAUAUAUUUUUAGAUUAUUUUCUGAAUAUAUAAAAAAUUCUAAUUUAAAAUCAAGGUGCAAUACUUUUAAGUUGAAUAGAGGAUUACAAAAAAUUGAAUUUAUAUGGAUAAUUAGUGGAAUAUUAAUUUAAUGGUGGAUUUUAAGUUGUAAAGUAAAGAUUAAUAAAUUGAAUUUAUGCUCUAAAAUAUGCACACGGCGC
rnacentral:rRNA from 1 species